AUUGAACGCUGGCGGCAUGCUUUACACAUGCAAGUCGAACGGCAGCACGGGGGCAACCCUGGUGGCGAGUGGCGAACGGGUGAGUAAUAUAUCGGAACGUACCCGGAAAUGGGGGAUAACGUAGCGAAAGUUACGCUAAUACCGCAUAUGCCCUAAGGGGGAAAGCGGGGGAUUCGCAAGAACCUCGCGUUUUCGGAGCGGCCGAUAUCGGAUUAGCUAGUAGGUGAGGUAAAGGCUCACCUAGGCGACGAUCCGUAGCUGGUCUGAGAGGACGACCAGCCACACUGGAACUGAGACACGGUCCAGACUCCUACGGAGGCAGCAGUGGGGAAUUUUGCGCAAUGGGCGAAAGCCUGACGCAGCCACGCCGCGUGAGCGAUGAAGGCCUUCGGUCGUAAAGCUCUGUGGGAGAGACGAAGAAGACCGGUGAAGAGCCGGCCUUGACGGUAUCUCCUUAGCAAGCACCGGCUAACUCCGUGCCAGCAGCCGCGGUAAU
rnacentral:rRNA from 1 species